UGUGUUCGAAAAUUAACAAGAUAUCCUAUUGUGUUAACUACAAGUGCGUUGAUCAUAUAGAUUAAAAUGGAAAUAUCAAUCUUCCAUAUUUUUUCAACGAUAAAUACAUACGUAUUUAUACUAGAUAUGUUUUUAUUGCUAUAGAAAAGAAUUAAAUAAAUUCUAAUUUCUAAGUUAAUCGACACAACGAAUGUAUAAUUUGAAGGAUUCAGAUACAACAAAUGUGGUUUCUUUCAAUGAAAAGAUUUCAGAAAAAGUCUAUCGUCGAUCAAAAGGUCUCACUGACAGCUUACAAAAAGUAGAAAAAUUAGAAAAUAAUAAAGUAAGUUUAAUGAUAAAAUAUAUUACGUUUUGGGAAAUUUUAUAUUGAAUGUUAUUUAAUAAUUUACUUAAUAAAUUUAUUCUCUUAAAAUAACAGCAUGAUGUAUAUCAAUCACCAGAAAUAAAUAUUAGGAAUAUAAGAAAGAUCAAAUGCCUACCUCUAAAAUUUCAAAAACUAAUGAGUCCAAGGAAAAAUACAAAAUUGAGUUACCAUUUCAUUAGUAAGAUUUUAUGUCAUCUAUCUGUUAAUAAUUUUAUUCUUAUUAUUAUUUAUUUUUUAGCCACAUUGCCAUAUAUGUAAUAUACUAAAAUAAUAAUGGGAUUUUGCUAUAGAAAAGAAUAAUAAUUCAUCAAAUGUAUUAAAUGUGGGAAGAAAUAGUAAUAUCAAACAGAAUGUACUCGAUGAUUCACAAAAGAUGGCAGUCCAGUCAGAAUUCAUACAGGCGUUGGCAGAAGAAAAGUAUAGAGCGGAUAAAAUAAGAUUUGGGAAUAUAAGUAAAGUUAGCAUACUUCUCUUGUAUCUCCACUUUUUGCUUUGUUAUUAUCUCUCUUUUUCAAAAACAAGCCAUUUUGUUGAGCUUUUUGAAAUGUGUCCGGCGAAGAACAAUGGAGAUUGAUUAUAAGUGUUUAUAUAAUAUUUACAAUUAAUAAUAGAGGAAAUGAUGCAUUUUGAACAAUGGUAAAG